UACGGAGGGGGCUAGCGUUGUUCGGAAUUACUGGGCGUAAAGCGCGCGUAGGCGGACCUGCAAGUCGGGGGUGAAAGCCCGAGGCUCAACCUCGGAACUGCCUUCGAUACUGCGGGUCUCGAGUCCGGGAGAGGUGAGUGGAAUUCCUAGUGUAGAGGUGAAAUUCGUAGAUAUUAGGAAGAACACCAGUGGCGAAGGCGGCUCAGCUGGCCCGGUACUGACGCUGAGGCGACGAAAGCGUGGGGAGCAAACAGG
rnacentral:rRNA from 1 species